UACGUAGGGAGCGAGCGUUGUCCGGAAUCAUUGGGCGUAAAGAGCGCGUAGGUGGAUCAAUUAGUCUGCUGUGAAAGUCAAAGGCUCAACCUUUGAAAGCCGGUGGAUACUGUUGAUCUAGAGUACGGAAGAGGCGAGUGGAAUUCCUGGUGUAGCGGUGGAAUGCGCAGAUAUCAGGAGGAACACCGAUAGCGAAGGCAGCUCGCUGGGACGUUACUGACACUGAGGCGCGAAAGCGUGGGGAGCAAACAGG
rnacentral:rRNA from 1 species